rnacentral:rRNA from 2 species
AUGUACACUAGUUGUUGGGGUGCUAGUCAUCUCAGUAAUGCAGCUAACGCAUUAAGUGUACCGCCUGGGGAGUACGGUCGCAAGAUUAAAACUCAAAGGAAUAGACGGGGACCCGCACAAGCGGUGGAGCAUGUGGUUUAAUUCGAAGAUACGCGAAGAACCUUACCUGGGCUUGAUAUCCUAAGAACCUUUUAGAGAUAAGAGGGUGCUAGCUUGCUAGAACUUAGAGACAGGUGCUGCACGGCUGUCGUCAGCUCGUGUCGUGAGAUGUUGGGUUAAGUCCCGCAACGAGCGCAACCCACGUAUUUAGUUGCUAACGGUUCGGCCGAGCACUCUAAAUAGACUGCCUUCGUAAGGAGGAGGAAGGUGUGGACGACGUCAAGUCAUCAUGGCCCUUAUGCCCAGGGCGACACACGUGCUACAAUGGCAUAUACAAUGAGACGCAAUACCGCGAGGUGGAGCAAAUCUAUAAAAUAUGUCCCAGUUCGGAUUGUUCUCUGCAACUCGAGAGCAUGAAGCCGGAAUCGCUAGUAAUCGUAGAUCAGCCAUGCUACGGUGAAUACGUUCCCGGGUCUUGUACUCACCGCCCGUCACACCAUGGGAGUUGAUUUCACUCGAAGCCGGAAUACUAAACUAGUUACCGUCCACAGUGGAAUCAGCGACUGGGGUGAAGUCGUAACAAGGUAACCGUAGGAGAACCUGCGGUUGGAUCACCUCCUUUCUA